rnacentral:rRNA from 1 species
AGCAAACGCUGGCGGCAGGCCUAACACAUGCAAGUCGAACGAAGUCUUCGGACUUAGUGGCGGACGGGUGAGUAACACGUGGGAACGUGCCUUUAGGUUCGGAAUAACUCAGGGAAACUUGUGCUAAUACCGAAUGUGCCCUUCGGGGGAAAGAUUUAUCGCCUUUAGAGCGGCCCGCGUCUGAUUAGCUAGUUGGUGAGGUAAAGGCUAAACAAGGCGACGAUCAGUAGCUGGUCUGAGAGGAUGAUCAGCCACAUUGGGACUGAGACACGGCCCAAACUCCUACGGGAGGCAGCAGUGGGGAAUCUUGCGCAAUGGGCGAAAGCCUGACGCAGCCAUGCCGCGUGAAUGAUGAAGGUCUUAGGAUUGUAAAAUUCUUUCACCGGGGACGAUAAUGACGGUACCCGGAGAAGAAGCCCCGGCUAACUUCGUGCCAGCAGCCGCGGUAAAAC